CCGGCCCUGCCCUGCCCUGCCCUGCCCGGCCCUGCCCUGCACUGCCCGGCCCCGCACGGGCGGCGCGAUGUGAGGCGUCCGAGCCCAGAGCCUCCGCCUGGCAUCAGCUCCACGCAGCCCAGCGCCGGCACGCGCGAGGCCCCCCUUCUGCAGAGGCCGGGCUGGAGGAGAAGAUGGCGGCCAAGCAGCCCCCGCCUCUGAUGAAGAAGCACAGCCAGACGGACCUCGUGAGCCGCCUGAAGACCCGCAAGAUCCUCGGCGUGGGCGGGGAGGAUGACGACGGGGAGGUGCAUCGCUCCAAGAUCAGCCAGGUCUUAGGCAAUGAAAUCAAGUUUACCAUUCGGGAGCCUUUGGGGCUCAGGGUCUGGCAGUUCGUCUCUGCUGUGCUCUUCUCCGGCAUUGCCAUCAUGGCGCUUGCCUUCCCUGACCAGCAUCUCCCUGAUCAUGUGGAACGCUCUCUACACGGCUGAGAAGGUCAUCAUUCGAUGGACCCUGCUCACCGAAGCCUGCUAUUU
rnacentral:sRNA from 1 species